rnacentral:rRNA from 1 species
UACGAAGGGGGCUAGCGUUGCUCGGAAUCACUGGGCGUAAAGGGCGCGUAGGCGGACGAGUAAGUCAGAUGUGAAAUUCCGGGGCUCAACCUCGGAACUGCAUUUGAAACUGCUUAUCUAGAGGGUUGACGGAGAAAACGGAAUUCCACGUGUAGCGGUGAAAUGCGUAGAUAUGUGGAAGAACACCAGUGGCGAAAGCGGUUUUCUAGUUAAUACCUGACGCUGAGGCGCGAGAGCAAGGGGAGCAAACAGG